AACGCUAGCUACAGGCUUAACACAUGCAAGUCGAGGGGCAGCAUGGUCUUAGCUUGCUAAGGCCGAUGGCGACCGGCGCACGGGUGAGUAACACGUAUCCAACCUGCCGUCUACUCUUGGACAGCCUUCUGAAAGGAAGAUUAAUACAAGAUGGCAUCAUGAGUCCGCAUGUUCACAUGAUUAAAGGUAUUCCGGUAGACGAUGGGGAUGCGUUCCAUUAGAUAGUAGGCGGGGUAACGGCCCACCUAGUCUUCGAUGGAUAGGGGUUCUGAGAGGAAGGUCCCCCACAUUGGAACUGAGACACGGUCCAAACUCCUACGGGAGGCAGCAGUGAGGAAUAUUGGUCAAUGGGCGAGAGCCUGAACCAGCCAAGUAGCGUGAAGGAUGACUGCCCUAUGGGUUGUAAACUUCUUUUAUAAAGGAAUAAAGUCGGGUAUGGAUACCCGUUUGCAUGUACUUUAUGAAUAAGGAUCGGCUAACUCCGUGCCAGCAGCCGCGGUAAUACGGAGGAUCCGAGCGUUAUCCGGAUUUAUUGGGUUUAAAGGGAGCGUAGAUGGAUGUUUAAGUCAGUUGUGAAAGUUUGCGGCUCAACCGUAAAAUUGCAGUUGAUACUGGAUGUCUUGAGUGCAGUUGAGGCAGGCGGAAUUCGUGGUGUGGCGGUGAAAUGCUUAGAUAUCACGAAGAACUCCGAUUG
rnacentral:rRNA from 1 species